AAAUAUUUCAGCAACUUCAGAGGCACUUAAUUUUCCUCCUUUUGUAAACUGGCAAUCUUGACUCUAACAUUGCUAGGAAUUACUUAUCUAUAUUUGUCCUUAAAUACAAGACUAUUAAAAAAAAAUCAAGGGCUGCUUUCUGCCCGUGGAUACCGCUGAGGAAGCCUCGUUAAAGUCUCUCUUCCCAGGGCCGUCCUGUCCUAAAGAGCCGGAACAGCUGCGGAAGCUCUUCAUGGGAGGGCUGAGCUUUGAAACAACCGAUGAGAGCCUGAGGAGCCCUUCUGAGCAGUGGAGAAGGCUCACAGAUUGUGUGGACUCCAAGUGAAGGUGAAAGAGACCAGACGAGACCUUUCCUAAUUCCAUUCAUCUCUGAGGGAUUUAUAAGGAAGUUACCAACCCCUGGUCUAAAUAAUCAAACAGAGAAAAGAAGAAAAGGAAAAAAGGAUCAGAGGACACAGAAGAAUUUCUGGACACACUUCCAUCUGCUAAUUAAAUGGAAGGAGCAAGUUUGGGUUUUUUUGUUUUUCCUCUACCUCAAUCAAAGACUAUGAAUCUUUCUUUUAAUCUCUGGAGCUAACUUCUCUAAUUAGUUUCCUAGAGGAAGAGGAUGCUUUACUAUUGGCAUUUCACACUCUGCACAAUGGUAUGAACUUGACAUACCUCAGCUGAUCCAGCAGAAAGAGCUCUAAAACUCAAAAGUUAUGUCAUCAGUAACUGUCAAUAGAUAGAAGUGUUCGCAGGUACUACUAGUUCCAAUACUCAUUGACUUUGUAACAACUGGUAUAUUAGCUACAAUCAAACAAAAUGAGGUAUUCUUUACAAGAAUUACAUAAGCCCUUUCCAAUAAAUUUUCUGUAACGAUGGAAAUAUUCUA
rnacentral:lncRNA from 1 species